CCAGACUCCUACGGGAGGCAGCAGUGGGGAAUAUUGCGCAAUGGGCGAAAGCCUGACGCAGCGACGCCGCGUGAGGGAUGAAGGUCUUCGGAUCGUAAACCUCUGUCAGGAGGGAAGAAGUGGUUAUAUGCGAAUAGUGUAUGACUUUGACGGUACCUCCAAAGGGAGCACCGGCUAACUCCGUGCCAGCAGCCGCGGUAAUACGGAGGGUGCGAGCGUUAAUCGGAAUCACUGGGCGUAAAGCGCGCGUAGGCGGCUUUUCAAGUCAGGGGUGAAAUCCCACGGCCCAACCGUGGAACAGCCCUUGAUACUGCGCGACUUGAAUCCGGGAGAGGGUGGCGGAAUUCCAGGUGUAGGAGUGAAAUCCGUAGAUAUCUGGAGGAACAUCAGUGGCGAAGGCGGCCACCUGGACCGGUAUUGACGCUGAGGCGCGAAAGCGUGGGGAGCAAACAGGAUUAGAUACCCCUGUAAGC
rnacentral:rRNA from 1 species